CUCCAAAAGAUUUAACAUUUCAACAGCAACUGAAUGUGUACUGCAAUCCAAUAUUGAAUAUGGAUGAAACUCCCUUUCAAGAUAAAGCCACUCGUCAUAAAUUUAUCCGUAAAGUACAGAUAAUUCACUUUUUUAUUCUACUUGUUACUAUAGGGGGUGUUGCCGUGUUCCAUUUUCAACCAGUUUUAUACAAAGAAGUAAAUACUACUAGUACUAUUAUAGAAGGGGGGACCGUAAUAGAGGCAGAAGCAUCGCACACUCAUUCUAUAUAUAUAUCUGUAUUCUUAAUUCUAUUUUGGAU